rnacentral:sRNA from 1 species
UUUAGUAAUCCAUUCGCCAAUUGCUGGUUGGCUUGUUGUUGGAAUCGUUUGAGACGAUGCCAUUUUAUUAUAAAAUUCUUCAAUUGCUAUUUCAUUACUUUCUGUAAAGUUCUUCCCAUCAUCAAAAGUCACACUUAAUGGCGCUAUUUGAAUAUUAUAUUUAUCGAUUAAGUCCUGCGACAGAUAACUUGUAGAAUCGGUCAUCACAGCAAUUUUCAUAGUCGUCCUCCUAAAAUAUACUCAUAGCAAUGAUACAAUAUUUCAGUUAAAAAGAAAAUGGCAAUCAAACGAUUUAUAGUCAUGU